GAUGAACGCUGGCGGCGUGCUUAACACAUGCAAGUCGAACGAAGACAUCUGAGUGCUUGCACUUGGAUGGACUGAGUGGCGGACGGGUGAGUAACGCGUGGGUAACCUGCCUUAUACAGGGGGAUAACAGUUGGAAACGACUGCUAAUACCGCAUAAGCGCACGGUAUCGCAUGAUACAGUGUGAAAAACUCCGGUGGUAUAAGAUGGACCCGCGUCUGAUUAGCUUGUUGGUGAGGUAACGGCCCACCAAGGCGACGAUCAGUAGCCGGCCUGAGAGGGUGAACGGCCACAUUGGGACUGAGACACGGCCCAAAACUCCUACGGGAGGCAGCAGUGGGGAAUAUUGCACAAUGGGGGAAACCCUGAUGCAGCGACGCCGCGUGAGUGAUGAAGUAUUUCGGUAUGUAAAACUCUAUCAGCAGGGAAGGUAAUGACGGUACCUGACUAAGAAGCACCGGCUAAAUACGUGCCAGCAGCCGCGGU
rnacentral:rRNA from 1 species